UCGAACAGACCUAAAUAUUUUAGCUUCUACACCAAAAUUUUAUUUUAAUCCAACAUCGARGUCGCAAUCUUUUUUUUCGAUUUGAACUCUCAAAAAAAAUUACGCUGUUAUCCCUAARGUAAUUUAUUCUUUUAAUCUAAAAARGAUCAAAUACUCAUAAAUUAAUGUAAAAAUAAAAAAAAAGUUUAUUAAAUUUUUCAAUCACCCCAACUAAAUUUAUCAUUAAAUUACAAAAAUAUUAAACUUAAAGUUUUUUAAUUUAAUAAUAAAUAAAACUCUAUAGGGUCUUCUCGUCUUUUAUUUCAAUUUAAGCUUUUUUACUUAAAAAUAAAAUUCUAAAAAAUUUAAAUAGAGACAGUUAUUUCUCCGUCCAACCUUUCAUUCCAGCUUUCAAUUAAAAAACUAUUGAUUAUGCUACCUUUGCACGGUCAARAUACCGCGGCCAUUUAAAUCCUCAUAGGGCAGGCGAGACCUUAAAUUAUAUUCAAAAG
rnacentral:rRNA from 1 species